CCCUGCUUUCCAAAGGGAUCAUGGGCUUCCCGUGCCCUGUCACUGAUAGUGUGGGGAGAGGAACUGAUGAACGCCAUUUCCCCAUGUUUGCAAGGUCCAUUCCUGUCUCUUCCAAACCCUGGAGCCGCCUUCCCCCC
ensembl:snoRNA SNORA71 Small nucleolar RNA SNORA71